UACAGAGGGUGCAAGCGUUAAUCGGAAUUACUGGGCGUAAAGAGUACGUAGGCGGAAAAGUAAGUCAGAUGUGAAAUCCCCGGGCUUAACCUGGGAAUUGCGUCUGAUACUGUUUUUCUUAGAGUAUGGUAGAGGGCAGUGGAAUUUCUGGUGUAGCGGUGAAAUGCGUAGAUAUCAGAAGGAACACCAGUGGCGAAGGCGACUGUCUGGACCAAUACUGACGCUGAGGUACGAAAGCGUGGGUAGCAAACAGG
rnacentral:rRNA from 1 species